rnacentral:rRNA from 1 species
GACGAACGCUGGCGGCGUGCUUAACACAUGCAAGUCGAACGGAAAGGCCCUGCUUUUGUGGGGUGCUCGAGUGGCGAAUGGGUGAGUAACACGUGAGUAACCUGCCCUUGACUUUGGGAUAACUUCAGGAAACUGGGGCUCAUACAGGAUAGGAGCUCCUGCUGCAUGGUGGGGGUUGGAAAGUUUCGGCGGUUGGGGCUGGACUCGCGGCUUAUCCGCUUGUUGGUGGGGUAGUGGCUUACCAAGGCUUUGACGGGUAGCCGGCCUGAGAGGGUGGCCGGCCACAAUGCGACUGAGAGACGGCGCAGACUCCUACGUGACGCAGCAGUGGAGAAUAUUGCACAAUGGGCGGAAGCCUGAUACAGCAACGCCGCGUGCGGGAUGACGGCCUUCGGGGUGUAAACCGCUUUCGCCUGUGACGAAGCGUGAGUGACGGUAAUGGGUAAAGAAGCACCGGCUAACUACGUG